rnacentral:sRNA from 1 species
GCCAGGUACGGUGGCACACGCCUGUAAUCCCAGCGACUCGGGAGGCUGAUGCAGGAGGAUCGCGAGUUCAAAGCCAGCCUCAGCAAUGAUGAGGCGCUAAGCAACUCAGUGAGACCCUGUCUCUA